rnacentral:rRNA from 1 species
CCUACGGGAGGCAGCAGUAAGGAAUAUUGGUCAAUGGACGCAAGUCUGAACCAGCCAUGCCGCGUGAAGGAUUAAGGUCCUCUGGAUUGUAAACUUCUUUUAUUUGGGACGAAAAAGGGCCUUUCUAGGUCAACUGACGGUACCAGAUGAAUAAGCACCGGCUAACUCCGUGCCAGCAGCCGCGGUAAUACGGAGGGUGCAAGCGUUAUCCGGAUUCACUGGGUUUAAAGGGUGCGUAGGCGGGUAGGUAAGUCAGUGGUGAAAUCCUGGAGCUCAACUCCAGAACUGCCAUUGAUACUAUUUAUCUUGAAUAUUGUGGAGGUAAGCGGAAUAUGUCAUGUAGCGGUGAAAUGCUUAGAUAUGACAUAGAACACCUAUUGCGAAGGCAGCUUACUACGCAUAUAUUGACGCUGAGGCACGAAAGCGUGGGGAUCAAACAGGAUUAGAUGCCCUGGUAGUCCACGCCCUAAACUAUGACUACUCGACAUUUGUGAUACACAAUAAGUGUCUGAGCGAAAGCAUUAAGUAAUCCACCUGGGAAGUAGUCCGCAAGGAUGAAGCUUCAAANAGAGUAGAGNGNGAGAGNGCGACGGACGACACGAGGGGAGGAGG